UACGUAGGGGGCUAGCGUUGUCCGGAAUCAUUGGGCGUAAAGCGCGUGUAGGCGGUUCGGUAAGUCCGCUGUGAAAGUCGGGGGCUCAACCCUCGGAUGCCGGUGGAUACUGUCGGACUAGAGUACGGAAGAGGCGAGUGGAAUUCCUGGUGUAGCGGUGAAAUGCGCAGAUAUCAGGAAGAACACCAGAGGCGAAGGCGGCUCUCUGGGACGGUACUGACGCUGAGACGCGAAAGCGUGGGGAGCGAACAGG
rnacentral:rRNA from 1 species